rnacentral:rRNA from 1 species
GACGUAGGCGCGAGGCGUUGUCCGGAUUUAUUGGGUCGUAAAGGAGCUACGUAGGCGGCUUGUCGCGUCGACUGUGAAAUCCCGCGGCUCAACCGCGGGUCUGCAGUCGAUACGGGCAGGCUAGAGGUUCGGUAGGGGAGACUGGAAUUCCUGGUGUAGCGGUGAAAUGCGCAGAUAAUCAGGAGGAACACCGAUGGCGAAGGCAGGUCUCUGGGCCGAUACUGACGCUGAGGAGCGAAAGCGUGGGGAGCGAACAGG